UCAGCCGGGGCACUGUGUUAUUUUUCUCGCGUGGUGAAUCCCCCUGUGCGGAGGGGCUAAACAGCACGUGUAGCUUAGGCAAUCAGUAGCGGGUCAAGGUGGCUGACCAACGACUCACCGGGAGGCACCCGGCACCACAUAUACGUUAAAGCUUGUAUCUCGCUGAAUUUAUUAGG
rnacentral:sRNA from 1 species